rnacentral:lncRNA from 13 species
CCAUUGCCUCCCCCACCUCCCGCCCAGGCUGCAGCGAGAGGGGCGACCCCCGAAAGUUGCGCGGAGGCGAGAGCAAUGAGGCAAGAGAGAAGUUUUUAAAAACAGAAAAAUGUGAUUGCAUAAACAUCGUUGUUGGCAGGAGGACUUGGUGGAUUCAGCAGUGCUGCUACCCACGAGAGACCUGGGAAGAGGAGCCCACCCAAGCAGUGAAGCUUUCAACGGAUGGCAUUGUUAAGGAGGAUUUCAAGAGCUGACUUCUCAUAUUUCGGUAGUCCAGAUACAACUGUAAGUGCUGCCUGUAUGAAAGAGCUGAGCCACACCAUCCAGUAAACUAGAGCAGCAGUUGGCUUGCUUGGAAAUCACUUCCAGGACUGCAUUGUAAGUAAGUGUUUUUACAAAAGCAUCAUCAAGUGGUUUCUUCAGGUUUGGGGUGGUUUUGAGAUGUUUUGGUUGUUUCUUUUAAUUUCACAUUUUUACUCUAACAUCUAGUAAGACUAGCAAUGCAUGUGGGAACUCAAGCACCUCCGUAUCUGUGCAUAGCAUAAAGCUAAGGUCCUUUCAAGGCUUUUUGCUGCAUUGCUCUAGAACUCCCCAGCAUACUACCUGAACACUUCUGAGAACAGGCAGCUACAUAGAAGCCUAGAAAGAAAUCUGACCGAGUACAUAUUGGUCUGUUUUGU